UACGGAGGGUGCAAGCGUUAUCCGGAAUCACUGGGUUUAAAGGGUGCGUAGGCGGUCUGAUAAGUCAGUUGUGAAAUUCCCCGGCUUAACCGGGUGGACUGCGAUUGAUACUGUUGGACUUGAAUCAGGUUGAGGUAGGCGGAAUGUGACAUGUAGCGGUGAAAUGCUUAGAUAUGACACAGAACACCGAUUGCGAAGGCAGCUAGCUAAACCGAUAUUGACGCUGAGGCACGAAAGCGUGGGGAUCAAACAGG
rnacentral:rRNA from 1 species